AGCAGGGUAGAGCAGCAUGGUAGCUCGUCAGGCUCAUAACCUGAAGGCCGUCGGUUCAAGUCCGACCCCUGCAUCCA
rnacentral:tRNA from 1 species